CCUACGGGGAAGGAUGAGAAGCUUCGACUAAGGUUCGACUCGAGCGCCAGCGAGAGAACGUUGCCGCAGGCAACGGCCCGAAGGGCGAGGAGCGAUAGCGACGAGUUAUCCUUCCCCCACCACCA
rnacentral:sRNA from 1 species